rnacentral:tRNA from 1 species
GCCGACGUGGUGGAAUUGGUAGACACGCUAUCUUGAGGGGGUAGUGACCUAGGUCGUGCGAGUUCGAGUCUCGCCGUCGGCACCC